GCCUAGUUAGCUUGGUUUGGUAGUGCGUCUGCCUUGUAAGCGCUAGGCCGCGGGUUCGAUUCCCGCCCGGGGCG
rfam:Asian citrus Psyllid, Diaphorina citri - Florida Strain, whole genome shotgun sequence.